rnacentral:rRNA from 1 species
UUCCCUCAGUAGCGGCGAGCGAACAGGGAGAAGCCCAGCUUGAAAAUCGCACCGUUCCGCGAUGCGAGUUGUAGUCUGGAGAAGUGUCCUCUGCAGCGGACCCGGUCUAAGUCCUCUGGAAAGGGGCGUCAGAGAGGGUGAGAACCCCGUCGGGCCGGGACCCUGCUGCUCCACGAGGCACUGUCGACGAGUCGGGCUGUUUGGGAAUGCAGCCCUAAGUGGGAGGUAAAUUCCUUCCAAGGCUAAAUACGGGCGGGAGACCGAUAGCGAACAAGUACCGCGAGGGAAAGAUGAAAAGGACUUUGAAAAGAGAGUUAAAAAGUGCUUGAAAUUGCUGGGAGGGAAGCGAAUGGAGGCCUCGUGUGCGCCCCGGUCGGAUGCGGAACGGCGUGAGCUGGUCCGCCGCUCGACGCGGGGUGCUGGUCGGCGUGGGCUUCUUCGGCGGGAGAAAAGUCGGCCUUUUGUGGCCGGCCGAUGCCGUCGAGGAGGCUGAGGAUCCGAAGUGCGCGCUUCUCGGAGCGAGCCCUGAACCCCUCAAAGGGCUCAGGGUAUUACUGCGUGCUCGGGACGUCGGCGUUGUGGGCUUUUCAUCCGACCCGUCUUGAAACACGGACCAAGGAGUCUAACAUGCGCGCGAGCCGGUGGGCGGCAAACCCACGCGAGGCGAAAAUAACUUGAGAGGUGUGAUCUCCUCCCCCUCGCCCCCUCUCUUCUGGGGGGGGGGGAAAACCAAAGGAAUGCMACAUCGACCGACCAUGAUCUUCUGUGAAAGGUUCGAGUGAGAGCGUGCCUGUUGGGACCCGAAAGAUGGUGAACUAUGCCUGAGCAGGGCGAAGCCAGAGGAAACUCUGGUGGAGGCUCGUAGCGAUACUGACGUGCAAAUCGUUCGUCAGACUCGGGUAUAGGGGCGAAAGACUAAUCGAACCAUCUAGUAGCUGGUUCCCUCCGAAGUUUCCCUCAGGAUAGCCGGAGCAGUCGAGGAGUUUCGUCAGGUAAAGCGAAUGAUUAGAGGCAUCGGGGGUGAAACACCCUCGACCUAUUCUCAAACUUUAAAUAGGCGAGAUCCGGAUUAUACGGGGUUGCUUUGAGGAACCCCCGGCGAUCGACAACA